UUGGGCCGUCGUGCUGCGUUUCCUUGGAACCAGGUCGUUACGCCUUGCCUGCAAGGCAACAAGUGGUGCCGAAAGCCCGGGAACACAAAAGAAACAGAACCCGGGAUCGGGAGUCUCCUGGACAAGGCCAGCGGCUGCGGGGGGUCCUGGACUCCACCACAGCGAGGAGGGACGCCUCCGGAAACCGCCACAGCCUCAUAGAAGCUGUGGCCUGAGUUUGAAUUGGAACCGCCAUAGCCUCAUACAAGCUGUGGCCUGAGUUUUACGAGGACCGCCGCAACCUUGCAGAAGUUGUGACCAGAGUCUUGUAGGACCGCCAGUCUCGUGGAAGUCGUGGCCCGAGUCGCGUGGGGACCGCCUCAGCCUCAUGGAAGCUGUAGCCCGAGUCGACAUGAUCAAGAGACGUCCGCGAGACGUGCACACCCGCGUUCUGGAGGAGAGAGACAGACCACCGAGCCGCCAGACAGCACCCGAAGGACCGGCACGGGCGAGAUCCAGUCAUCAAGGGUAUCUCUGGGUAAUGUUGCUGCUGGGGCUAGUUGCCAGGGGGCAAGCCAGCUCACAGUACUAUCCCCAUCAGCCAUUCAGGUGGGUCAUACGGCACCUCACCAAUGACAAGGUGCUCAGACACGUCAUUACACCAGACGCCCCAUCCUUCAUACUUCGCAUUACAGACCUGUUCCCGGGACGACCAAAGCCAGACCCUCAUUCCCCAUACGCCAAAAACACAUACCUAUCCUAUUGGUGCCCAGCCUCAAACCCCGGAAAAAGUUACUGUAAUCGCCCGGGGUGGGGAUAUUGCGGACACUACGGUUGUGAAACAAUAGUCACAGACACCAGACCGACAGGGCCGGGGUGGGACCCACAGGAACCCGACAGAUUCUUACAGUUCACUUGGGCGCCAAAAGGCUGCAAAACACCACUCUUCCAUCACGAAAGCACCUAUCGAAACAGCCACAAACUCCCAAAAAUCCGGAAAUGUAUUAGGUACAACAUGACAGUCUUGCAGCCCAGAGACCCCAGUUGGGCCUUUGGAAAAAUGUGGACAGUAGUCCUUCACGGGACAAACGAGUAGGUAAACGUGCAGAUUAUCAGGCUCAUACCGUCAGUACCCCGAGCGGUCGGACCAAACAAAGCAAUCAAAAGCGUGCAGAAAGGGAAAAACACGACCUACCCCAAAACCUUACCUACAAGGGUCGCGAAUACCCAGACAAGCCUAGCGAGAACCAUUCAGACACAUCGCUUAGCUAAGUCGGAUUCGGACCCAAUCCUUCGCAUGUUAGAAGCUACCUUCCUAUCCCUAAACGAAUCCAACCCUAACCUAACCAAUUCCUGUUGGCUAUGUUACGAUGUCAAACCACCCUUUUACGAAGGAGUCGCCUUAGAUACCCCUUUCACAUAUUCCUCAGCAGACGCCCCUCACCAAUGCAGAUGGGACACUCCCCGCAAAGGAAUCACCCUGAGUCAGGUCACGGGGAGGGGGAGAUGCUUUGGAAAUGCAGCCCUAGCUAGGCGGGAAGGCAACGUGUGCACCAAAGUAGUCAAACCCGACAGGAGAAAAAAGUGGGUAGUCCCAUCCGCAUCGGGCAUGUGGGUUUGCCAAAGAUCCGGAGUGAGUCCCUGUGUGUUCCUAGACAAAUUCAAUGACUCAACAGACUUCUGUGUCCAAGUCUUAAUCGUUCCCAGGAUCCUGUAUCACUCAGACGAGGAGGUGUACCAACUCCUCGGAGAACCCAGCCGACUCCACAAGAGAGAAAUAAUAACAGGCAUAACAAUCGCAAUGUUGCUCGGCCUAGGAGCGGCAGGAACAGCAACGGGAGUCGCGGCCUUGGCGACCCAUCACCAAGGUUUGUCCCAGCUGCAGAGGACCGUCGACGAGGAUCUGCAGAGAAUAGAGAAAUCCAUAUCCUUUCUAGAGAAAUCAGUUUCCUCACUUUCAGAGGUGGUCCUGCAGAACAGGCGAGGACUGGACCUCCUACUCAUGCAACAAGGAGGCCUGUGCGCCGCCUUGAAGGAGGAAUGCUGUUUCUACGCAGACCACACAGGAGUCGUCAGAGACUCCAUGGCAGAACUCCGAAACAGACUGGCUCAGAGACAGAGAGACAGAGACGACCAACAAAGCUGGUUCGAAUCCUGGUUCAAUCAAUCACCAUGGCUAACCACUCUAAUUUCUUCCCUAAUAGGUCCGUUAGCAAUCCUGCUUCUAGCUGUCACGUUCGGACCGUGCCUACUGAACAAGCUAGUCUCAUUCGUCCGGACCCGCUUGGAACGGACCAACAUCCUGCUCUUGGGCAGACAUCCGAUGCUGUGAAUUCAACAAGAAGUUCAACAGGGAACGCUGCCGGACGCAAGAACCCGAGAAAGAACUUGCCAGGCAGAAAAACUAACUCAGGAACCCCAAAUCCCCUUUCCUUGUCAAGCGACAACCUUAGAUACCUCAUAUCAGCAUGUAGACGACUACCUCAUCCAUUUGUGGGAGAAGGGGGGGGAGAUGUGGCAGAGAGAAUAGGGACAGGCGGUCGGAAGAUUUCGGGCUGUCACGGAAACCUGAUAGGGCCUCCCUCACCUGACUCCCAGAGAUAAGGAUAGCCGCAGGACAAGAGGCCAAGAAUGUUGUAAUCCCCCCAAGAAUGUUGUAACCCUACCUAACACGGCCUCCACCCAGUCCCCUUACUAACCAUAUAAGGUAAAAGUCAGACCCCAAAGGUAGGGGAAGGACCAAGGGUAUAUAUACCGAGGAGAAAACCAAUAAAGGGCCUUUGGACCGUC